GACGAACGCUGGCGGCGUGCCUAAUACAUGCAAGUAGAACGCUGAAGGAGGAGCUUGCUUCUCUGGAUGAGUUGCGAACGGGUGAGUAACGCGUAGGUAACCUGCCUGGUAGCGGGGGAUAACUAUUGGAAACGAUAGCUAAUACCGCAUAAGAGUAGAUGUCGCAUGACAUUUGCUUAAAAGGUGCAAUUGCAUCACUACCAGAUGGACCUGCGUUGUAUUAGCUAGUUGGUGAGGUAACGGCUCACCAAGGCAACGAUACAUAGCCGACCUGAGAGGGUGAUCGGCCACACUGGGACUGAGACACGGCCCAGACUUCUACGGGAGGCAGCAGUAGGGAAUCUUCGGCAAUGGACGGAAGUCUGACCGAGCAACGCCGCGUGAGUGAAGAAGGUUUUCGGAUCGUAAAGCUCUGUUGUAAGAGGAGAACGAGUGUGAGAGUGGAAAGUUCACACUGUGACGGUAUCUUACCAGAAAGGGACGGCUAACUACGUG
rnacentral:rRNA from 1 species